rnacentral:rRNA from 1 species
UACGUAGGUGGCAAGCGUUAUCCGGAAUUACUGGGCGUAAAGGGUGCGCAGGCGGCUCCGCAUGUCGGGCGUGAAAGCCCCGGGCUUAACCUGGGAACUGCGUUUGAAACUGGGGAGCUAGAGUGUGGAAGAGGGGGGUGGAAGUUCCAGGUGUAGCAGUGAAAUGCGUAGAGAUCUGGAGGAACACCGAUGGCGAAGGCAGCCCCCUGGGCUAACACUGACGCUCAUGCACGAAAGCGUGGGGAGCAAACAGG